rnacentral:rRNA from 1 species
UACGGGGGGGGCAAGCGUUGUUCGGAAUUACUGGGCGUAAAGGGCUCGUAGGCGGCCAACUAAGUCAGACGUGAAAUCCCCAGGCUCAACCUGGGAACUGCGUCUGAUACUGGAUGGCUUGAAUCCGGGAGAGGGAUGCAGAAUUCCAGGUGUAGCGGUGAAAUGCGUAGAUAUCUGGAGGAAUACCGGUGGCGAAGGCGGCAUCCUGGACCGACACUGACGCUGAGGCGCGAAGGCGUGGGGAGCGAACGGG